GAGUUUGAUCCUGGCUCAGAUUGAACGCUGGCGGCGUGCCUAACACAUGCAAGUCGAGCGGUAACAGGUGUAGCAAUACAUGCUGACGAGCGGCGAACGGGUGAGUAAUGCUUCGGAAUCUGCCCAAUGGUGGGGAAUAACCAGCCGAAAGGUUGGCUAAUACCGCAUAAGUCCUACGGGAGAAAGCAGGGGAUCGUAAGACCUUGCGCCGAUGGAUGAGCCGAAGUCGGAUUAGCUAGUUGGUAGGGUAACGGCCUACCAAGGCGACGAUCCGUAGCUGGUCUGAGAGGACGACCAGCCACACUGGGACUGAGACACGGCCCAGACUCCUACGGGAGGCAGCAGUGGGGAAUAUUGGACAAUGGGGGAAACCCUGAUCCAGCGACGCCGCGUGUGUGAAGAAGGCCUGCGGGUUGUAAAGCACUUUUAGUGGGGAUGAAAGCUCAGGGAUAACACCUCUGGGUCUUGACCUAACCCACAGAAAAAGCACCGGCUAACUCUGUGCCAGCCGCCGCUGUAA
rnacentral:rRNA from 1 species